CACCGCCCGUCACACCAUGGGAGUUGAUUGCACCAGAAGCAGGGUAGCCUGACCGCAAGGAGGGCGCUUACCACGGUGUGGGUUAAUGACUGGGGGUG
rnacentral:rRNA from 1 species